AACUAAUCAUUGCCCCAUACUGCUUUAAUAAUAAUCUUGCUAGUUUGAACUACAGUUACUAAGUUUCUCUGCUUUCUCCCUCUCUUUAAGCAGCAGAGAAUUUCUUAAUGACUCUCUUGAUGCCAUUUGUCGGUUGUUGUUCGCAUUGCCCCUGGUGCUACCAACUAGGAUUUGAAAGCUGUGAAGAGUGUAGAUUCAGGGGAGAAAAGUAGUAAUUUUUUACCAUCCACAUGAUGCUGUUGGGAAUCCUACCAGCUAAAGAGUUCAGAAGGGACACAUGGCCAGUGUGUUAUCUAGUAUUCAGUGUGACUAGAAAAGUGCUGGCACAGUCAUCAUUUGGGAUAUGCAGUAAAACGGGAUGUAUGAUAAGUUGGCCAAAUUUAGAGUCAAUGAUUGAAAUACCAACCUGGAAUGAAACUUGAAUUGUAAAGGGAAAUCUGAAUGCAACAACUUGAUUGUCUUUUUGAGAGAUCUGCUCGUAUCUCUUUUUUACCAUUAUGCCUUAUAUGGCGUUCAGGAAUAAUUCACAGACAGAACAGAGGGGUUGCAGAGAGACACAACUAUAACUUUAAAAAUUGGAAUGCAUGAGAUUCGCUUUAGAUAGCUCAUAGAAAUUGCAGUCUUAAAAUAAAUGUAGAGGUGCACCAAUCUUCCCCGACUUG
rnacentral:lncRNA from 1 species